AUGGAUUCCCUUCCGACCGCCUACACCCCCCGUGAUACGGAUGAUGCCGAGGUGGGAUCCCAGGAAGGGACCCACCAGGAGGAGGGGGCCCCGGAGGUGCCGCAGGGAAACCUCCCGGACUUUGCGCCGGACUCUGCACCGGAACCUGAAGUGGCUCCGGAGUCCGACAGGCGGCCCCUUCGUAAGAAGGGCAAGACUGCGACGCCAGCGGCCUCCGUCCAACCGGAGGCACCGGAUAGCUUGCUGGAGGCGCUCAACGGCGCCUCCAUCGAAGAGGAACACCACACCUUCAUGAGUGCGGUGAUUCAGAAGGUUCAGCUCGCCAAGAGCGGGCUGACCGAAGCCUGCAGCAGCCUUCUAACAGGAUUUGAGGCUGUGCUGCUGACCUCUGCCGCACUGACUGCGGAGGUCAAUACUUUGAAGCAAAGCCUCGAGCGGUCCGAGAACGAGCUCGGCCAUGCCAAGAAGCAGCUCGAGGACAAGGAAGGUGCCACGAUCGAGGUGGCGACCCUGAAGGAGGCGGUGUCCGAGGCCGAAUGUAAUGCGGCCGCGGAGCGGACCGAGCGAGAGAAGCAGGAGGCGCGGGUGGCGGAGGUACAGCAAGAGCUCCAGGAUCUCGUGGAAAAACAUGAGAGCCUGGAGCGUGACUCGAAGACUCGAGAGUCCGAGCUUGCAUCGGCUCUUGAGAGUGCCAAAGCCGCUAAGGCCGAAUCCUACAAGGCCCUCCAAGAAAUCGAGGCGUUGAAGAAAAUAGCAGCGGGAGCGUUCGCAGAUCUUCCUCGCAGCAUGUCCGAUGCUGCCGCUUUCUACCGGGCCGAGGAGGGGAGCUCGACGGAGAAGGUCUUCUGGUCUUAG
rnacentral:rRNA from 1 species